rnacentral:rRNA from 1 species
GUGGGGAAUAUUCCGCAAUGGACGAAAGUCUGACGGAGCAACGCCGCGUGAGUGAUGAAGGUUUUCGGACUGUAAAGCUCUGUUGUUUAGGACGAAAGUGCCUGUUGCGAACAGUUACAGGUAUUGACGGUACUGAACGAGGAAGCCACGGCUAACUACGUGCCAGCAGCCGCGGUAAUACGUAGGUGGCAAGCGUUGUCCGGAAUUAUUGGGCGUAAAGAGCAUGUAGGCGGGAAUCUAAGUCUGUUGUGAAAAUGCGGGGCUCAACCCCGUAUGGCGAUGGAAACUGGAUUUCUUGAGUGCAGGAGAGGAAAGGGGAAUUCCCAGUGUAGCGGUGAAAUGCGUAGAUAUUGGGGGGAACACCAGUGGCGAAGGCGCCUUUCUGGACUGUGUCUGACGCUGAGAUGCGAAAGCCAGGGUAGCGAACGGGAUUAGAAACCCGGGUAGUCC